rnacentral:rRNA from 1 species
GAUGAACGCUGGCGGCGUGCCUAAUACAUGCAAGUCGAGCGAACGGACGAGAAGCUUGCAUCUCUGAUGUUAGCGGCGGACGGGUGAGUAACACGUGGAUAACCUACCUAUAAGACUGGGAUAACUUCGGGAAACCGGUGCUAAUACCGGAUAAUAUUUUGAACCGCAUGGUUCAAAAGUGAAAGAUGGUCUUGCUGUAACUUAUAGAUGGAUCCGCGCUGCAUUGGUUAGUUGGGAAGGUAACGGCUUACAAAGGCAACGAUGCAUAGCCGACCUGAAAGGGUGAUCGGCCACACUGGAACUGAGACACGGUCCAGACUCCUACGGGAGGAAGCAGUAGGGAACCUUCGGCAAUGAGGGAAAGCUGGACGGAGCAACGCCGCGUGGUGGAUGAAGGUCUUCGGAUCUUAAAACUCUGUUAUUAGGGAAGAAGAUAUGUGUAAUUAACUGUGCACAUCUUGACGGUACCUAAUCAGAAAGGCACGGCUAACUACGUG